rfam:Streptomyces rubellomurinus strain ATCC 31215 contig-17, whole genome shotgun sequence.
CCGGCUAGUGGUCAACAGCCGGUCCCCAGCCUCGGGUGCGUCGAUGGCAACGUCGGGGUGCUGAGCCGAGGUGGUCAAGCCCAAGGGAUUCCCAGACCGUUGGGAGC